rnacentral:rRNA from 1 species
AACGAACGCUGGCGGCAUGCCUAACACAUGCAAGUCGAACGAGACCUUCGGGUCUAGUGGCGCACGGGUGCGUAACGCGUGGGAACCUGCCCUUAGGUUCGGAAUAACUCACCGAAAGGGGUGCUAAUACCGGAUAAUGUCUUCGGACCAAAGAUUUAUCGCCUUUGGAUGGGCCCGCGUUGGAUUAGCUAGUUGGUAGGGUAAAAGCCUACCAAGGCGACGAUCCAUAGCUGGUCUGGGAGGAUGAUCAGCCACACUGGGACUGAGACACGGCCCAGACUCCUACGGGAGGGAGCAGUGGGGAAUAUUGGACAAUGGGCGAAAGCCUGAUCCAGCAAUGCCGCGUGAGUGAUGAAGGCCUUAGGGUUGUAAAGCUCUUUUACCCGGGAUGAUAAUGACAGUACCGGGAGAAUAAGCUCCGGCUAACUCCGUG